rnacentral:lncRNA from 1 species
CCCAACUUCCCCGCCUUAUUUCGCAUCGGUUAGAGAUUAAUUGCUCGCCGGAGUUCGACACUGCCGUGGCCGUUCUUCGCGUUUUCGCCGCCGUUCCGGUGAGAAUCUCCCCGUGCCGACCCCCUAGCCUCUCUCCUCUCCUCGUUCCGAACACCGUGACGCGCGUGCUUUAUUUUUUUGAAGCUCCGCCCGCGCUGUUCGCCGGCCGCCGCUGCUCGCGCGCGUCCGCCACCCCGCGCAUGCUGCCCGUCUUCUCCGGCUCCGGCAGCCGCCCGUCCGCUGCCCCGCACCAUGCCGCCUCCGUCUCCCGCGCCGGCAGCCCACGCCGCCGGCCACGAAGCCCUGGCUUCCGGCCAGUCCCGCCAUGCCACGUGGCGAGGUCUUUUCUUUUUGUUUUUAUUUUAUUUUCAGCCGAAAUAGAUAAUGCACUUUUGCAGGAAAGACCCUACAACUUCAAAGCAUCAUAUCUUUCAAACCGUUUGUCCAAAUUUUGUGUUCCGCACCUUUCUGGAAUCGUCACAACUUGUAGAAUAUGUUGGCACUGUCUAAUUUCAGGUUUGAACAACUUAGUC